CACCCCAUGGAGUCCUGCACUUGGGAGGCUGAUUUCUAUUCUCUCUCAACAAUGUGACUUGCAUCACUGGUAUAAAAUCAGGCACGCUGAAAACUUAAGACUCUAUAAGGAUUUGAAGCAAGCAAAUGAGUUAUGGAAUCAUAGAAUCAAACUGCAAUAUGGACUUCUCUUUACUUUUUAUUGCCACUCUGAAGUAUGUUUUUUUUGGAUAAAUGGAUAAGUGUAAAGCCAUUAUACCUGACAACUCAAAUCGCAGCUCUACUCCUUCCAUGUUGCAAGAGGGUGGUAUAAUCUGAAAGAAUCUCACAGUAUAUACAGCUCAAUUCCAAUAGGUUCUGCCUUAGCCUGAUUAACUGACCCAUUGCGGGGGUAGAAUCGAGACUUUAGUCACUCCCUGAACUUUCCUAGGAAAAGGAAGUACUAAGAGCCACAUAGAACUAGUUCUUCAUCACUAUAUCCUGAGUGAUUAAGGCAGCCGUGCAGAGGUAGUGACUGGGAGAGCAUGCUUUAAUUCUCUGUAUUUUCACAUGGGUACUUAAAACUGGGCCAAUAUCUGGCUCUCAGAAAGAAUGUUUCAUUUCCUGUCCGAAGUUGUAGUGAAAGUGUCGUUUGCAUUGUUCAACAGUAUUUUUGCACUCCAGGGCUUCAUUUCAAUUUAGGUGAAGGGCUCUCUCUCUGUAAUUUGUUCAUUAGCUUGUGAAGUACAUGAGACUCUUUCACAGUACAAGACACUGUAUAAUGCAAGACCAUGUAUUCAAAGUAAUGAGUGGCAUUUUAAACCACUGAAUUACAUUAUGAGUAGGAAUGGGUGACUGUUUGGAAAAAAGAUAAGAAAUCAUCUUGUAUUGUUACCUGAAAUAGAAAUCAAACCUUUUCUGCAUUUUAGACUUAAAAUGCACAGUUGACUUGAUUAUUGCUAUUGUUUUAAUGUAAAUGUCUUCACCCUAGUUUCUUCUUUUAGCCAAAUUGCCAGGCUACCAUCAAAGAGUCUGAUGGUGAGGUAUCUACUGCCCUACUACAACUGGGAAAGAUAGACAAUCUUCUGAGAAGGCCUAUUGUUGUGAGACUUCAGACUCAGGCAUCAGAGACGGAACUGGCUCCAAAGUGGGAUCUACCCUUCUACCUCAUCUUGUUGCACUAUAUGGCAUCUGGUCAGAAGACUACUUCUCCACAUUCCAUGGAUGAACUAGAGGCAAAUUUGCCUUUAUUGACAUUUCCAAUAUUUUUUGUUACACAUUUCUGUGAAUGGACAUGAAGGGCCUAGCUGCACCAGAGCCCCAGGAGCUUUGUUUUAAAGAUGCUCAUCAACAAGGUUUGGCAUAUGUAUUUAUACUUUUGAUUCUUCACUAUGUUUACCCCAUAGUAACGGCCUGGAAAAGUCAUCCAUUUCUUUUUUAUGGAGGGAGAAAAUUUUAUAUUUUUAUGGUAACUCAGCUCUGGGCCUGUCUCAAGCAAAAGUUGCUGAUCAUAUUAUCUUGCAUUCCAUGUAAUGAUUGUCGGCGUGGGUUACAAUGUGGAACUGUGUGGAAACCAUUAACCUGUUUUCCUUAAACAUGAGUAAAGAUCACACAAUCUUAGUUAAGGCAGGAGUUAUUCUGAUAAAAUAGUACUUGGAGCUUCAUUUCCAAAACAUAAAAAGGCAGCCUACAUACUGUUGUUCCUGUGUUCAUAGAUUCUACUGACUAGUAGGACAUGGUCUGCCCAAUAAUGCAGCCCUUCAGCAUUGGCCUUGGGUGUACAGGAACCACAGGCCUGACUAGUCAUUUCAAGAGGGAAACCACCUACAUGGAUGGGCAAGUGCCUAGUCAUGUAGGGCCUACACUACAGAAUGGCCUUAUGUUAACCUUCCUUGGGGCCCUUGGCACAGGGACAAGCUGAGGGAGUGGCCAACGGAGGAAGAAGGCAGGGCUGGAGCACCAAACAACUUCACUAAGGAUUGUAGUAGGCACUGAGCAGUCCCGGGGGUUACUCUUGUUUACACCAUGGACUGCUGUUGUGCCUGGCUGCUUCCAGAAUGUAUGAGGCAAAGGUGAUAAAUGGCACCUUCUGCUUCUCCCACCUUUCUGCGUUGUAUGAAGAUCAAAUUGACCACAGUUGGGGCCAGCUUAUUGCCAUCCUCUACAUUUCAUGAUUCUGCAAUUCCAUUUGGAUGGGUUUUGGAGACUUAAUCACAUCACAAGCAAUUACUCUCUUUUAAUUUGGUGAAUAAUAAAGUAAUAUGAAUCAUAGGA